rnacentral:rRNA from 1 species
AUUGAACGCUGGCGGCAGGCCUAACACAUGCAAGUCGAACGAGUGGCGGACGGGUGAGUAAUGUCUGGGAAACUGCCUGAUGGAGGGGGAUAACUACUGGAAACGGUAGCUAAUACCGCAUACCUCCGGUUUUGCCCGGAUGGGAUUAGCUAGUUGGUGGGGUAACGGCUCACCAAGGCGACGAUCCCUAGCGGGUCUGAGAGGAGGACCAGCCACACUGGAACUGAGACACGGUCCAGACUCCUACGGGAGGCAGCAGUGGGGAAUAUUGCACAAUGGGCGCAAGCCUGAUGCAGCCAUGCCGCGUGUAUGAAGAAGGCCUUCGGGUUGUAAAGUACUUUCAGCGGGGAGGCGUUACCCGCAGAAGAAGCACCGGCUAACUCCGUGCCAGAAGCCGCGGUAUUAC